CCUCCAGAUGAGAUGAAUUUCUCCCUGGAUGUGUUUGCUUCUCCCAGCUGCCUAUAAUGGGAAGCAGUGAAAAUAGCUGAGAGUUUAGAAACUAACUUUCUGAGAUGUGAGUGAGAUAGGUCCCACCCUGGUCUAAAGAAGAGUUCCUCCAUGACUCACAAAUACCUGAGCUAAAUUUUGUGGGAAAAAGGAGUGUGUUCUCAUGAGCUUCUUACAGGUGUUGGUAAUGGAGCUACCAUUGGCUGAGUUCAUAUGGGUUAUGUUCAUCGUGCAAGAGACUCUUCCUGGCAAGAAGUCAUUAAUUCAGCCAGAAUAAAGGCAAAAAAGAGGUGGUACACAGGGGAAGAACCAUCUCUCUUGUUGGAGAUUCAGGCUUGUUUAGAGUUCUUUGUGUGACUACACAUGAAAAUAUAAAACACUUUUCAGUUUGGAACUGUGUGCAAGUAGGAGUCUUCUGACAGGGGCAAUCUUCCAUUCCUAUCCAAAUGCAAAACACAAAUGUUGGAAGAAUCACCUGGCAAGAAUCUUCUACAAAGUUGGACUGAAUUUAAAGGGUGUAAAUGGACGUGCUUAUGGCUCUUCUGAGAAGAACAAUGAGAGUUUAAAAGAUCUUGAAACAACUGUGGAAGAAUUAGUGAAAACAGAAUGAUGGAUUUGUUCAUCUGGGACACAGCAAACCUGCACAGCAGAUCUGUGACAAUAGCCUGCAUGAACACACACAGCUCCAACAGGAGCUUAAAGCCAUUCCUUAUGACUGAAGCAGAGGAAGCGCUUGGGCUAGAAGUUCUUGGCUCACAUCUCAGCAGUAUCUUCAAGAGACUGAGAUGGUUUUCCCUCUUUGUCAGCCUGUUUGGGAAGAAGCAUUUCCAACAGUGAGACACAUCUGGAGAGCUGGGUCUGGUUCUGGGCUCCACAGAACAUGGACAUACUGGAGAGAGGCCAAAGAAGGGCCAUGAAGACAGUGAAGGGCCUGAAGCAUCUGACACACAAAGAGAAGCUAAGAGAGCUGAGCCUGUUCAGCAUGGAGAAGAAAAGGCUCAAGGGGAUCUUAACACUGUGCAUAAAUACCUCAUGGGAGGCAUUAAGAAUGAUGUUUUUUUUUCAGUGGUGCCCAGGGAUAGCACAGACAAUGAGCACAAACUGAAAUAUGGGAAGUGUAAGAAAAAAGGGGUUUUUUUUACUGUGAGGAUGGUAAGAUUUUGAAAUUGUUUGUCUAGAUGGAUUGUGGAGUCUCUGUCCUUGGAGGUACCCAAAACCUGAAUGCACGUGGCCCUAUGCAAACCUGUUCUAGCUCACCCUGCUUGAGCAGGGGGGUUGGAUGACCCUCUGAUUCCUCCUCUGGAGGCUUCUGUAUGGACUGGCAACAAUGAACGCUGUUUUGCCUCCUGGCACAUUUUUAAUAUUCCAUAAUAAAUAAUGUGAAAUAUAGUUUUAAAAAUA